rnacentral:rRNA from 1 species
UACGUAGGGUGCGAGCGUUGUCCGGAAUUACUGGGCGUAAAGAGCUCGUAGGUGGUUUGUCGCGUUGUCCGUGAAAACUCACAGCUCAACUGUGGGCGUGCGGGCGAUACGGGCAGACUGGAGUACUGCAGGGGAGACUGGAAUUCCUGGUGUAGCGGUGGAAUGCGCAGAUAUCAGGAGGAACACCGAUGGCGAAGGCAGGUCUCUGGGCCAUAACUGACGCUGAGAAGCGAAAGCAUGGGGAGCGAACAGG